ensembl:lncRNA
GGUGUGGUGAGGCCACCGCAACCCCAGCUGGGAAAAGGAAAAAAACCCAGUACCUGCUCAGACCAGCUCAGCAGACCCCCAGCCCAGCCCUUCCUUCAGCAGGUCCCUGGCCCAGGAGCCUUAAGUUCAGGGAGCAGAGAGCCCAGGCCAGGGGACCCCAUGACCCCGACAUGAGGCCCGCAGGGGCGGAGGACAGGGAGGGUCUCCCACGCAGAAGGAGCAGAGGGGCUUCCAGGUAGAGUCAGGUGGCCAUGAUCUAGGGGUCCAGGUCACACCCAGGGGCACAGCCCCCGACACGCAUGGGCACACUCAAGCACACACACACUCCAGGGGGCAAAGGGCAGCCAGAGAGCGGAAGUGAAGACCAGGGAACUCGGCCUGGGCCCUCCCAUGCUGAUAGUCACCUGCCCCCGCUCAACAAGGCCCCCAAAUCCUUAAGAAGAUGCCUACCCUGGGGAAACGGCACCUGACGCCCCCAGAAGACAAAGGGCGCCCCCCCGCUCCGGCCCCACGCUGUGGAACUGCAGGAUCAGUUACUGAUGGGAAGCAUAGCAAGCUUUUCAACUCUAAGCUGCAAUAUUCAUUUAAGAAUCUUUCAAUCAUAAUGACCUAGAAAUGAGACUUAAAGAAGUUGAGAUAAUGCCAUCAGAAGGGUCAUGCCGCCCUCAUGAGUCUCUUGACAGGCACGAAUUUAGAUAAUAAUCAGAAAGCAUUUCGACAUUAAGGGGCCCGGCGGGCCCGCCAAGGACGACGAGACCCUGGCUCACGUGGUGUCGCCGCUCCAUCGCCUGUCACUUUUCACCGACAUUUCCAGCUUUACCCGGAACACAGCAGACUUUGGGAGCUAGGUUGUGAAAUCUGAGACUUCAAGUAAGACAACGAUCGGGAGGUUCUUCUGGACCAUCUUAGUUAGAAAAGCUAGCCACCGUUCUUAAGUGGUGUCCUGUCGUUGAUCAAAGUGAAACAGCAACAUAGGCACAAAUAUCCCCAAUUGCAUCAAACCAGUCAAUCCUAAAGGAAUCAGCCCUGAGUAUUCAAUUGGAAGGACUGAUGCUGAAGCUCCAAUACUUUGGCCACCUGAUUUGAAAAGCCAACUUAUUGGGAAACAUUGAGGGCAGGAGGAGAAGGGGGCAACAGAGGACCAGCUGGUUGGAUGGCAUCACCGGCUCAAUGGACAUGAGUCUGAGCAAACUGGGAGGUGGUGAAGGACGGGGAGCCUGGUGUGCUGCAGUCCAUGGGGUUGCAGAGUCGGACACGACCUAGCAGCUGAACAGCGUCAACCUCAUCAUGUUUGGACAAUAACGAACGUAA